UUAAGGCGCUGCAUCCAGGACAUCUGCAAGCUCCAUUUCCAGCAGCAGCACUACUCGGUUGUGACAAUCAACGGCGCAACCAUACUGGACGAGCUCGUGAGGAACUAACUAGCCAGGCCGAAUCAUCCAGGAAACUAAUGGUAAGCUCACUUUUGCUAUCGUUUUUUCUUUCUUUUUUUCUGUUCAUGACUACCGUGCUGGGUUCUGGGGAGUGAGUGGGAGGGCCGUGCAUCGGGAUAAUUCCUCCAUGCAUUGAGGAGUUCAAGCACCCGGGAAACUGCGCGGGUGGCAAAACCGUCAGUGGCCGAGAGUUACACCAGCAGGAUCUCCAGGUUAUCCAAGCGCGGCUACACAAUCGACAUCGAUGGUGCGGUGGUACCGGGAAAGCUCGCUCCCUCGAUCGAGAAGCGAGGUGUCGGCUUUGGAAUGUUUCUCCUGUCCCGGGGAUUGACAUUGAGACAACGAGGGUUUUUCUGACUUCUAACGCGUACAUAGACUUUGAGUUCCAGCGAGUCCUUUCAGCGACAGGUGAGAGCUUGUUCCAUGCGAUCAAAACAGGAAGUACUAACUUACAGCAGAACGGGUGAAUAUUCGUCUGUACUAAUCCCGCGGUGACAAAAGAAAGUUUGAAUGUACCAUUCUACAUGUUUCCAUA